CCUACGGGGUCAGCAGUGGGGAAUAUUGGACAAUGGGCGAAAGCCUGAUCCAGCCAUGCCGCGUGUGUGAAGAAGGCCUUCGGGUUGUAAAGCACUUUCAGUGGGGAAGAAAGCCUUGGGGCUAAUACCCUCGAGGAAGGACAUCACCCACAGAAGAAGCACCGGCUAACUCCGUGCCAGCAGCCGCGGUAAUACGGAGGGUGCGAGCGUUAAUCGGAAUUACUGGGCGUAAAGCGCGCGUAGGCGGUCUGAUAAGCCGGUUGUGAAAGCCCCGGGCUCAACCUGGGAACGGCAUCCGGAACUGUCAGGCUAGAGUGCAGGAGAGGAAGGUAGAAUUCCCGGUGUAGCGGUGAAAUGCGUAGAGAUCGGGAGGAAUACCAGUGGCGAAGGCGGCCUUCUGGACUGACACUGACGCUGAGGUGCGAAAGCGUGGGUAGCAAACAGGAUUAGAUACCCGAGUAGUC
rnacentral:rRNA from 1 species